rnacentral:rRNA from 1 species
UAGGGAAUCUUCCGCAAUGGACGCAAGUCUGACGGAGCAACGCCGCGUGAGUGAAGAAGGUUUUCGGAUCGUAAAACUCUGUUGUUAGAGAAGAACAAGUGCUAGAGUAACUGUUAGCGCCUUGACGGUAUCUAACCAGAAAGCCACGGCUAACUACGUGCCAGCAGCCGCGGUAAUACGUAGGUGGCAAGCGUUGUCCGGAUUUAUUGGGCGUAAAGCGAGCGCAGGCGGUUCCUUAAGUCUGAUGUGAAAGCCCCCGGCUCAACCGGGGAGGGUCAUUGGAAACUGGGGAACUUGAGUGCAGAAGAGGAGAGUGGAAUUCCAUGUGUAGCGGUGAAAUGCGUAGAUAUAUGGAGGAACACCAGUGGCGAAGGCGACUCUCUGGUCUGUAACUGACGCUGAGGCUCGAAAGCGUGGGCAGCAAACAGGAUUAGAUACCCUGGUAGUCCACGCCGUAAACGAUGAGUGCUAAGUGUUGGAGGGUUUCCGCCCUUCAGUGCUGCAGUUAACGCAUUAAGCACUCCGCCUGGGGAGUACGACCGCAAGGUUG